rnacentral:rRNA from 1 species
GAUUGGACAAUGGGCGCAGCCUGAUCCAGCCAUGCCGCGUGCAGGAUGAAUGCCCUAUGGGUUGUAAACUGCUUUUAUACGGGAAGAAACCCUUGAACGUGUUCGAGGCUGACGGUACCGUAAGAAUAAGGAUCGGCUAACUCCGUGCCAGCAGCCGCGGUAAUACGGAGGAUCCAAGCGUUAUCCGGAUUUAUUGGGUUUAAAGGGUGCGUAGGCGGCUUUGUAAGUCAGUGGUGAAAGCCCGCAGCUCAACUGCGGAACUGCCAUUGAUACUGCUGAGCUUGAGUAUGUUUGAAGUGGGCGGAAUGUGCAGUGUAGCGGUGAAAUGCUUAGAUAUUGCACAGAACACCAAUUGCGAAGGCAGCUCACUAAACCAUAACUGACGCUGAGGCACGAAAGCGUGGGGAUCAAACAGGAUUAGAUACCCUGGUAGUCCACGCCGUAAACGUUGAUUACUCGAUGUGUGCAAUACACCGUACGCGUCUAAGCGAAAGCGUUAAGUAAUCCACCUGGGGAGUACGCUCGCAAGAGUGAAACUCAAAAAAAUUGACGGA